AUUGAACGCUAGCGGCAGGCCUAACACAUGCAAGUCGAACGAGUGGCGGACGGGUGAGUAAUGUCUGGGAAACUGCCUGAUGGAGGGGGAUAACUACUGGAAACGGUAGCUAAUACCGCAUACCAUCGGAUGUGCCCAGAUGGGUUUAGCUCGUAGGUGGGGUAAAGGCUCACCUAGGCGGCGAUCCCUAGCUGGUCUGAGAGGAGGACCAGCCAAACGGGAACGGAGACACGGUCCAGACUCCUACGGGAGGCAGCAGUGGGGAAUUUUGGACAAUGGGGGAAACCCUGAUCCAGCCAUCCCGCGUGUAUGAUGAAGGCUUUCGGGUUGUAAAGUACUUUUUGCAGGGAAGCGGUAUCUGCAGAAAAAGCAACGGCUAACUACGUGCCAGCAGCCGCGGUAAUAC
rnacentral:rRNA from 1 species